rnacentral:rRNA from 1 species
UAGGCGUUCGCUCUACACCCUUUGUGACAUACCUAUAACUGUUGCUUCGGCGGGCAGGGUCUCCGUGACCCUCCCGGCCUCCCGCCCCCGGGCGGGUCGGCGCCCGCCGGAGGAUAACCAAACUCUGAUUUAACGACGUUUCUUCUGAGUGGUACAAGCAAAUAAUCAAAACUUUUAACAACGGAUCUCUUGGUUCUGGCAUCGAUGAAGAACGCAGCGAAAUGCGAUAAGUAAUGUGAAUUGCAGAAUUCAGUGAAUCAUCGAAUCUUUGAACGCACAUUGCGCCCGCCAGCAUUCUGGCGGGCAUGCCUGUUCGAGCGUCAUUUCAACCCUCAAGCUCUGCUUGGUGUUGGGGCCCUACAGCUGAUGUAGGCCCUCAAAGGUAGUGGCGGACCCUCCCGGAGCCUCCUUUGCGUAGUAACUUUACGUCUCGCACUGGGAUCCGGAGGGACUCUUGCCGUAAAACCCCCAAUUUUCCAAAGGUUGACCUCGGAUCAGGUAGGAAUACCCGCUGAACUUAAGCAUAUCAAAAGGCGGAAGAA